UACGUAGGUGGCAAGCGUUGUCCGGAUUUACUGGGUGUAAAGGGCGUGUAGGCGGGAAAGCAAGUCAGAUGUGAAAACCAUGGGCUCAACCUGUGGCCUGCAUUUGAAACUGUUUUUCUUGAGUACUGGAGAGGCAGACGGAAUUCCUAGUGUAGCGGUGAAAUGCGUAGAUAUUAGGAGGAACACCAGUGGCGAAGGCGGUCUGCUGGACAGCAACUGACGCUGAGGCGCGAAAGCGUGGGGAGCAAACAGG
rnacentral:rRNA from 1 species